CCUACGGGGGACAGCAGUGGGGAAUAUUGCACAAUGGGGGAAACCCUGAUGCAGCGACGCCGCGUGAGUGAAGAAGUAAUUCGGUAUGUAAAGCUCUAUCAGCAGGGAAGAAAAAGACGGUACGUGAGUAAGAAGCCCCGGCUAACUACGAGCCAGCAGCCGCGGUAAUACGUAGGGGGCAAGCGUUAUCCGGAUUUACUGGGGGUAAAGGGAGCGGAGACGGCGAAGAAAGUCUGAAGUGAAAGCCCGCGGCUUAACCGCGGAGCUGCUUUGGACACUGUUUUGCUGGAGUACCGGAGAGGUAAGCGGAAUUCCUAGUGUAGCGGUGAAAUGCGUAGAUAUAAGGAGGAACACCAGUGGCGAAGGCGGCUUACUGGACGGUAACUGACGUUGAGGCUCGAAAGCGUGGGGAGCAAACAGGAUUAGAUACCCCAGUAGUC
rnacentral:rRNA from 1 species